UUCUCUAGCAGUCUAAGAAGCACGCAGAGAGGCAGACAGAGACAGAAGACUCAGGAAAAAAAUUGAAAAUCCUUUGAAAUUUUUUUUCAAAAGAGGAGUGAGGGUGUGCAGGCAGAGUGAUGAGCAGCAGCUGCUUCCUUUAGGUUAUGGCUCUCCAGGACUGUGGACACAUCUCACCUCACUACAGGGGUGUUUUUAGAACAACUGCGUGUCAACAUGUAGAUGCUCUUCAGGGCUCUGCUUAAAUCAGCCCCCCACCCCCCACCCCUUCUUGGUUUGUUUUCCCGCCAGAACCAAACUGUUUCCUGCGUGUCGGAGCGAUUUCACAUUUUUAAUUUUUGCUGUUGUCGUUUGCUUGGAGAGACGUGAGGAAUGAGAGGCAGAGCAGAUGAUCCUGACAUGGUGCCGGCCCACGCUGACAGGAACCAGGACGGAGUGGARGGCUCUGACCCGACCGGCUGCAGGUAUCCUCUGCUCGAGGUUAAGGUCAGCUAAGAUCCAGCGACUAAGCUCCUCUGGCUUAGGUGCUCACUUUCAACUUACCUGAACUAAGUGGGUGAUUUGUUUUUUUUUUUACUUUAUUUUGCUGAAUCACAAGGAAUUUGCUUUGUCAGGAUAUAGAACAAAGCAAUACCUCGAAGUUUAAAUAUAAACAAAGUGUAAAUAAAACCUAACCUACCAACUGUGUUUGUCAAAGUGUUAAAAGUGAUUUGAUGAGCGUUUUGUUCGUGGCGUGUUGGACUCAGAGCAACAGAUGAACACUAAGCCAUAAAACUACUCAAGCCAUAACCACCCUUGUCAGCAGUGAAUCCGAACUGUUUGAGGCAAUCCCACUAAACCCUGAGACAGUUUACCUCGACAGACAGAUGUCGGUUCUGUCCUGACGGUGGGGAGGAGGAGACCGCCGCUUCUUGUUUGUGAGGGACUGAAAGCAGACUCCUGAACGCUUCCUGCAGCCAUCCUGCUGUCAGCUGAACAAAGGCAGAGCUCCAGUGGAGGCAGCUCAGCCUCGGCUCGUCACUGAUCGUCACUUCCACAACUCGCCUGGGCYCAACACACUCAGCCUGCACCUGAAGUGGGAAACAGACACUUAACCCUUGACAAAAAAACAAAAACAAAGAAAGGUUAAAGAAGCGCCCCCUCCCUUUCCCCUACUCCCCUCCUCUCAGCCCGUCUGGUCAUCAAGCUGACCGACGCAGCCAUGGCGUUCACCUUCGCGGCCUUCUGCUACAUGCUCACCUUGGUCCUGUGUGCUGGUCUCAUCUUCUUUGUCAUCUGGCAGAUCAUUGCGUUUGAUGAACUCCGCACAGACUUCAAAAACCCCAUUGAUCAGAGCAAUCCCACCAGAGCGAGAGAGAGGAUUCUUAACAUCGAGCGGAUCUGCAACCUGCUUCGCAGAUUGGUGGUACCAGAGUACUCUAUACACGGGCUCUUCUGCCUGAUGUUCAUGUGUGCUGGAGAAUGGGUCACUCUUGGCCUAAAUAUCCCGCUGCUCUUCUACCAUCUGUGGAGGUUCUUUCAUCGGCCAGCUGAUGGAUCAGAGGUUAUGUAUGAUCCUGUCAGCGUGAUGAAUGCAGACAUCCUCAACUACUGUCAGAAGGAGUCCUGGUGUAAAAUGGGCUUCUAUUUGCUCUCCUUCUUCUAUUACCUGUACAGUAUGGUCUACACCCUGGUGACGUUCUAAACACCAAGUCAUCUGAAGAAAAGGGACCUACAAGAUACGCAAACCAAAUGGAGACAAACUCUUCUUCUCUCUGUGUUUCCRGGCUUUUCAUCGUCCAAUUUUGAACAAAAGAGAAGAGCAAUCUGAUGGACUCUGGCCGGGGCUGGACGACAAAUUGCAGUUUGAUGUUCAAACACUGAUCACAGGAACACGGAGGAAUCUGAAUGUCAUCCAUCAACAGAAGAGACGGGCUGAAGUUUACAUGACAGGGUUUGACCUACAUGAGAGGAUCCAGAUCACAAGAGGCUUCGUGUGUGAACAGACUGACAAACCUUUCUGCUCCAUUUCAUCUGGAAAAUCAGGCCUAGRAUUCCURGAAGUAAUGCAAAUCUACCCCUGCCACUGUUCAUGACAGAGUUUUAAGCUGGAGGUGAUGAUGAGAAGUCCACAUAGAGGUUUUGGUCAAACUUCGUAAUGUCAAGAAAAAAAGUAGAAUGCAGAGCUGCAUCCCUAUCAAAUAUGGAAAAGGCGUUUUAUGGACUGAACUGUUGAGAAUAUUGUUCGAGAAGGUAUGUAGGAUGUACAGUAUAAAAGCACCAGAAAGUUGUCUUAAGUUGGGUUUUUUGGAUUAUAAUGAAUUUUCUAACAACAUGCAACACUGUUCAGAUGUCAACCAAUGCUUCAAUAAAGACCCUUGCUAUCUUGAGCUUUUGUUGGGUCCUAUGAAAUCUGUUUCUUAGGGCUUUUCCAAAAUCAAAAAUUUUCAAUUAUUUUUUUUUUGUUUUUGAAUUCCACAUUUUCAUUCUAACCUACAUAAAAAGUGUAUAGUUAUAAAGUGAUUGAAAAAGAAUUUAACAAAUUAAUAAGCAUAAUAAUCACUGAAUUCAAACUUGCAUGAGUUACUAUUCUAAUACUAUUACUUUCACAAAAAUAAAUUGCUGUGGUUCAACAGAACAUUAAAUGCUUUUUCAAGGUAUUUAAAGUAUUUACCCUGUGAAAAACCCUGUGUAUGUGUAAAACAGAAUCUCACAUAUCUCAAGUUAAAAAUUUCUCCUUUUAUAAAACAGAAGUGGAGCAACAUCAAACAACCUGUGGGAAAGAUAAAACCUACAAUCAUCUUUUUCAUGAUAAACAUUUCUAUCAUGAAUCGAACAUGUGGGGGCAGGUGAGCACAGCUGCAACACAACGUUUCCACGCUAACAGAGGAUUGAAACGGUUCUGUUCUUUAUUAUUAAUGCCUCUGCAGGUUUAGACCCCUAAUUAUCAGACUCCUACUGUCACUGCUGCACUGUUUGUUCCAUAGUGCAAACAUGUCAGCCAUUAUUAGAACACAAAGAAGGGAUCCACAAGCAAAAGUGUACACAUCUUAUCAAUUUUAAGACAAUAUUGUUAUAGAUUGUUCAAGCUUAAGCUGUUGUUUGUUUGAAGUUGUUUUUUUAUAGGGGACAUAUAUAAUAAGAUGUUAUUCUUCUUUUUGCACUCUUUUCAUUCAGUAAUUGAUUUACUUAGUUUGUUAAUGGAUAUUUUGUAUUUAUGAAUGAAAUAAAAUAAAUAAAAAA